rnacentral:rRNA from 1 species
UGUUUCGGCUAGGGGGUCAUCCCGACUUACCAACCCGAUGCAAACUACGAAUACCGAAGAAUGUUAUCACGGGAGACACACGGCGGGUGCUAACGUCCGUCGUGAAGAGGGAAACAACCCAGACCGCCAGCUAAGGUCCCAAAGUCAUGGUUAAGUGGGAAACGAUGUGGGAAGGCACAGACAGCCAGGAUGUUGGCUUAGAAGCAGCCAUCAUUUAAAGAAAGCGUAAUAGCUCACUGGUCGAGUCGGCCUGCGCGGAAGAUGUAAC